GAGUAACUAUAUUUGGGGUAGAAGAUGGGAGGUGCUCUAAUCGCUGAACAAAGUUGCAGUCUUCAAAGCUUUUUGGCAAAUGUUCAGAGCCUUCAGACUCAGAGACGACAGCCAGGAGUGCAAAAUGUGAAGGAAAAUUCUGAGCUCACACAGGACUAAACCCACAGAAUGGGAAAUGUAUUUCUUUGGAAAUAUGGAGGUAGGAAUUAUUGAUGUCAUUUGGAAGACUUGUUCUCGUUUAAGGUGAUAACGUGAAAUUUUGAUGAUUCAACUUGAAAACAGAGAAGCGAGAUAUGGGAACACAGAGGAACAGUAUUUUAGCCAAACUCUUUUGAGCAGAGUGAGAGAAGAUAAUGGUCUUGAUAUAGCAGAACUGGAUGGUUUGCUCUUUCUCCUCACUUCUCUCAGCCUUUCAAAAACACAACACAUGAUGAUGAAGCAAAUUGGAAAAAUAUCUAUUCGGAGAAGUUGGACUUUGCCAUUGCUGAGAAAUAUGACAUCAGUUAAACAAUUAUAGUCUCUUUUUGCACUAAAUACUUUUUAAACUUUAUACUUCUGCCUGUGUAUAUUUGAUGUCACGUUUGUUAUUAUUCUUAGGUUUUGGUGUAAUAAAAAAAUUCUGUCUCUUCACACAGGAUGACUUUGUUAUUGGCUCCUUAAUUUGGACUACGCUACAUUUUAUUUAAAAUGCGAUAUACCUAGAUGUUCAAAACAAUUUAAAACCUUUAUUCUAUAAACUGAGGGGUUUGUAAAGAGAGGAACUGAUUUAGCAUUUGCAUUUGGUUACCACGUUUCUCUGGAACUUCGAUUGGAGUUAUCCAAUGACUAUCUAGUAUUCAUGGUCUUCAGUAUUGAACUCAUCCACAAGUGGAAGGAUCUCAGCCUUUUAUUCUCUUCAAUCCUCUCAUAACUUGAAGGAGCUUCAGGAGUUUACCUGUCAGUCUUCUCUUCCAUUGAGAAAUGCUCCAGCCUGCUCAGUUUCUUUCCCCUCAAUAGUCAGAAUCUCGUAGCAUUUGCAUGAUUCUUUAAAACAUUUUUCUAUACUAUCUCUAAUUGCUGUAUAUCCUUUUAGCAAAAUGUACUGUAUGUUUUUUUUUAAAGUUCCUUAUACAUUUAACACCAUUCUUUCUGCUUUUGGUUCAUUUCUAAAGUACAGAAUUCAAUGUGUUUUCUUUGUACUUUU